rnacentral:tRNA from 1 species
GCUGCGGUGGUGGAAUGGUAGACACGCCACCUUGAGGGGGUGGUGCCUUAAGUGGUGUAAGAGUUCGAGUCUCUUUCGCAGCA